rnacentral:rRNA from 1 species
AGUUUUUUUCUGGCUCAGAGUGAACGCUGGCGGUAGGCCUAACACAUGCAAGUCGAACGGCAGCACAGUAAGAGCUUGCUCUUACGGGUGGCGAGUGGCGGACGGGUGAGGAAUGCAUCGGAAUCUACUCUGUCGUGGGGGAUAACGUAGGGAAACUUACGCUAAUACCGCAUACGACCUACGGGUGAAAGCAGGGGAUCUUCGGACCUUGCGCGAUUGAAUGAGCCGAUGCCCGAUUAGCUAGUUGGCGGGGUAAGAGCCCACCAAGGCGACGAUCGGUAGCUGGUCUGAGAGGAUGAUCAGCCACACUGGAACUGAGACACGGUCCAGACUCCUACGGGAGGCAGCAGUGGGGAAUAUUGGACAAUGGGCGCAAGCCUGAUCCAGCCAUACCGCGUGGGUGAAGAAGGCCUUCGGGUUGUAAAGCCCUUUUGUUGGGAAAGAAAAGCAGCCGGUUAAUACCCGGUUGUUCUGACGGUACCCAAAGAAUAAGCACCGGCUAACUUCGUGCCAGCAGCCGCGGUAAUACGAAGGGUGCAAGCGUUACUCGGAAUUACUGGGCGUAAAGCGUGCGUAGGUGGUUGUUUAAGUCUGUCGUGAAAGCCCUGGGCUCAACCUGGGAAUGGCGAUGGAAACUGGGCGACUAGAGUCUCCCCCCCGGUAGCGGAAUUCCUGGUGUAGUAGUGAACACGCGUAGAGAUCAGGAGGAACAUCCGUGGCGAAGGCGACUGCCUGGGCACCCCUGACACUGA